AAAUUGAAGAGUUUGAUCAUGGCUCAGAUUGAACGCUGGCGGCAGGCCUAACACAUGCAAGUCGAGCGGCAGCGGGAAAGUAGCUUGCUACUUUUGCCGGCGAGCGGCGGACGGGUGAGUAAUGCCUGGGAAAUUGCCCAGUCGAGGGGGAUAACAGUUGGAAACGACUGCUAAUACCGCAUACGCCCUACGGGGGAAAGCAGGGGACCUUCGGGCCUUGCGCGAUUGGAUAUGCCCAGGUGGGAUUAGCUAGUUGGUGAGGUAAUGGCUCACCAAGGCGACGAUCCCUAGCUGGUCUGAGAGGAUGAUCAGCCACACUGGAACUGAGACACGGUCCAGACUCCUACGGGAGGCAGCAGUGGGGAAUAUUGCACAAUGGGGGAAACCCUGAUGCAGCCAUGCCGCGUGUGUGAAGAAGGCCUUCGGGUUGUAAAGCACUUU
rnacentral:rRNA from 1 species